GCCUUCGUGGCGUAGUGGUUAGCCCACUCGGCGCGUAUGCGAGAGGUUCGUGGAUCGAGUCCCGGCGAGGGCA
rnacentral:tRNA from 1 species